CAAUAGCGUAUAUUAAAGUUGUUGCAGUUAAAAGCUCGUAGUUGGAUUUCUGGGAGAGUGCCAAUGUCCGCCGUCGUGCGUGCGCAGCGGCGCUCUUCCAUCCUUCUGUUAACUCCUCUUGGCAUUCAUUUGCUGGUGGAGGGCUCAGAUAUUUUACCUUGAGAAAAUUAGAGUGUUUCAGGCAGGCUAGGCCGGAAUACAUUAGCAUGGAAUAAUGGAAUAGGACUACGGUCUCUUUGUUGGUUUGAGGGACUGCAGUAAUGAUUAAUAGGGAUAGUUGGGGGCGAUAGUAUUAAUUAGUCAGAGGUGGAAUUACUUCGGAUUGUUUAAAGAACAACUUAAUUGCGAAAGACAUUUGUCCAAGGAAGUGUUUUCUAUAAUUACAAGAAACGAAAGUUAAGGGGUAGUCAAAGAACGAUCAGAUACCGU
rnacentral:rRNA from 1 species